rnacentral:ncRNA from 1 species
UUAAUUCGAUGCAAAGCGAAAAACCUUACCAGGGCUUGACAUGCCGUGAAUCCUCUUAAAAGAGAGGGGUGCCUUUGGGAACACAGACAAGUGGUGCAUGGUUGUUGUCAGCUCGUGCCAUAAGGUGUUGGGUUAAGUCCCGCAACGAGUGCAACCCUCGCGUUUAAUUGCCACUAUUGAGUUUGGAACACUGAGCAGACUACUGGUCAUAAGUUGGAGGAAGGUGUCUUGCUAGUAGAGUGCUUUCGCUGUUGGUG